UCGUUCUUUGCAAGUAUUGCAUCACAAGUUUCCUAACAGGUCUUUCAAGGAAAGCUCGUGAUCUGGCUCUUCCAGCGAAUGUACCGGAUCACUCUGGUGACAGUCUUCGAGGCGUCUUGGCAACUAAGAACAUAAAGAGUGGAACCAGUGUAGACCUCUGGAGUCUCGGCUUUGGAAGAGUGACAGGAUAUGGAGGACCCUCACUGUCUCUUGGGCAUCUCUUUGUCAAGGAUGAUGCAUGAGGAUGGCCAGGAUUCAGCUCCAAAACUCCAGCCAACGUUGGGAUCAGCCUUGCAAGCAGCGAGAAAGCAUCUCCAGUCCAGAUGAAACGGCAUGUUGGCGAUGGGAUCUUCGGCAGUCAACUGUUAUGCUGCUUGGUGAUCUUGGUCACUUGACGCAUCGAGAUUAUGAGUAGCAUUUUUAUCAUGUAUGGGAAGUUUGAGACUCAGUCUAAAUGAUGCUUGUUUGUGUUCCAGAUAUCCGGCACUGUAUAGUUUUCUUUCCUUUUCUGGUAGAGGAGCGGAAGAGGGAGAAAAAAAAAAUGCUCAACCCCGAGAAGAUGUCCUUCUCUGCAAGUACAAGUUCUAUCAAGGAUCCGGCUCCAGCGAAUGUAGCGAGAGGAGUGGAUCACUCUGGUGACAAUCUUCGAGGCCUCUUGGCAACCAUGGAGAGUGGAACAAUCUGGAGUCUCGGCUUUGGAAGAGUGACAGGUUAAGCUCUAGAGCUUUGGAGCUGAUUCGAUCAAUGACCAAAGCCUUGACACAUCCAUCGAUGGAGAAAGCAAACUCGGCCACCUUCCAUCAACUCAACGAAAGCAAGCCUCGUCUGGGAGAAUCUCCAUGGAUCCUGAGAGCGUGAGAGAGAGCACACGGUCGCCAUACAUCAAAAUGACGUUCAGGCAUUCCCACAAGCUGCGCGUAGCAGUGACCAGCAUCGGCUUGAUCGAUCGCGUGCAAGCGGAGAUCACAUUGAUAUCAAUUUACUUGGAUUCAAAUA